rnacentral:rRNA from 1 species
AGAGUUUGAUCCUGGCUCAGGAUGAACGCUAGCGGCAGGCUUAAUACAUGCAAGUCGUGGGGCAGCACAGGUAGCAAUACUGGGUGGCGACCGGCAAACGGGUGCGGAACACGUACGCAACCUUCCUUUAAGCGGGGAAUAGCCCAGGGAAACUUGGAUUAAUACCCCAUAAGACAGUGAGAUGGCAUCAUCUAGCUGUU